UAGGGAAUCUUCCACAAUGGACGAAAGUCUGAUGGAGCAACGCCGCGUGAGUGAAGAAGGGUUUCGGCUCGUAAAACUCUGUUGUUAAAGAAGAACAUAUCUGAGAGUAACUGUUCAGGCAUUGACGGUAUUUAACCAGAAAGCCACGGCUAACUACGUGCCAG
rnacentral:rRNA from 1 species